rnacentral:rRNA from 1 species
UACGGGGGGGGCAAGCGUUGUUCGGAAUUACUGGGCGUAAAGGGCUCGUAGGUGGCCUACUAAGUCAGACGUGAAAUCCCCAGGCUCAACUUGGGAACUGCGUCUGAUACUGGAUGGCUUGAAUUCGGGAGAGGGAUGCAGAAUUCCAGGUGUAGCGGUGAAAUGCGUAGAUAUCUGGAGGAAUACCGGUGGCGAAGGCGGCAUCCUGGACCGAGAUUGACACUGAUGAGCGAAAGCUAGGGGAGCAAACGGG